AGUGAACGCUGGCGGCAGGCCUAACACAUGCAAGUCGAGCGGAGCGGCGGACGGGAGAGUAAUGCCUAGGAAUCUGCCUGGUAGUGGGAGAUAACGUCCGGAAAAGGGCGCUAAUACCGCAUACUAUCAGAUGAGGCUAUGUUGGAUUAGCUAGUUGGUGGGGUAAAGGCCUAACAGGGCGACGAUCCGAAACGGGUCUGAGAGGAUGAUCAGUCACACUGGAACUGAGACACGGUCCAGACUCCUACGGGAGGCAGCAGUGGGGAAUAUUUGACAAUGGGCGAAAGCCUGAUCCAGCCAUGCCGCGUGUGUGAAGAAGGUCUUCGGAUUGUAAAGCACUUUAAGUUGGGAGGCGUUACCAACAGAAUAAGCACCGGCUAACUUCGUGCCAGCCGCCGCGGUAAUUG
rnacentral:rRNA from 1 species